rnacentral:rRNA from 1 species
UACGAGUGCUCCAAGCGUUAUCCGGAAUUAUUGGGCGUAAAGGGUGUGUAGGCGGUUGUGUUAGUCUUCUGUUAAAUUCUUCGGCUUAACCGGGGGCAUGCAGAGGAAACGGCACAACUUGAGGAUGCGAGAGGUGAAUGGAACUCAUGGAGUAGGGGUGAAAUCCGUUGAUAUCAUGGGGAACACCAAAUGCGAAGGCAAUUCACUGGCGCACUCCUGACGCUGAAACACGAAAGCGUAGGUAGCGAAUGGG